UCAUUGCUGUCUCUUCAGUGCUUCUUCCUGCUAAGAAUGAGCACAUUCUUUAGGUGACACUCUAGAGAUGAACCCUUCUCCAGGCUUCGUGACUGUGGUACUCUUGCUUCUUGGACAAACCCAUGGAGACUCAGUGACCCAGACAGAAGGUCCAGUGACCAUUCCUGAAAGGGAGUCCCUGACUAUAAACUGUACUUAUUCAGUGGCAGGGUCCCCUACUCUUUUCUGGUAUGUCCAGUAUCCCAGAGAAGGUCCACAACUCCUCUUGAAAGCCAUGAAGGACAAGGAGAAGGGAAGUCACAAAGGUUUUGAGGCCACCUACGACAGCAAAUCCAAAACCUUCCACUUGGAGAAGUCCUCAGUGCAAGCGUCAGAUUUGGCCGUGUACUACUGUGCCGUGAUUGACACAGUGACAGGGACUGCAGGGGGAGCUGAGCACAAACUCUGAGCAGAGCAGGGGCCCGGAUGCUGAGUGUCUCUGACUGAUCCACUCUGGUUCCAGCACAGUGUAUGGUUGUCUGUCCCUCAGUGUCUGCUUGAUACAAAAGUCAUACAAAUGGCUAGAGCCUAGGAACCAGAGGGACAUUCCCCAGCCCAGCUGCUCAUUAGUGCAACUGGAAAUGUCAGUAGUUCCUCAGCCAGGACCCAAGUAAUUUCAAGGUGAAACCAUAGAACAUUGACGUGGUCGCUUGCUCAUCCUGCAGAGAGAGUCCAGCCCCACAGGAUGUUCAGGCCACCCUGGGGGGUAUUGCUGUGUCUCAUCACAGGUUUAGAGAGCCAGGCUGUGCCCGAGAAGGUGGUGUCUGCCCCAUGUCUUCCUGACAAAGAAUGUGCAGGAGAGGUGAUGGGAGAGCUAUAGCCC